rnacentral:rRNA from 1 species
GACGUAGGAUGCGAGCGUUGUCCGGAUUUAUUGGGCGUAAAGAGUUCGUAGGUAGUUCGUUAAGUCUGGUGUAAAAGACUGGGGCUCAACCCUGGGAUCGCACUGGAUACUGGCGGACUAGAGUGAAGUAGAGGCAAGCGGAAUUCCCAGUGUAGCGGUGAAAUGCGUAGAUAUUGGGAAGAACACCGGUGGCGUAAUCGGCUUGCUGGGCUUUAACUCACGCUGAUGAACGAAAGCUAGGGGAGCAAAUGGG